AGCGAACGCUGGCGGCAGGCUUAACACAUGCAAGUCGAGCGCCCGUAGCAAUACGGGAGCGGCAGACGGGAGAGUAACACGUGGGAACGUGCCUUUUGGUUCGGAACAACCCAGGGAAACUUGGGCUAAUACCGGAUAAGCCCUUACGGGGAAAGAUUUAUCGCCAAAAGAUCGGCCCGCGUCUGAUUAGCUUGUUGGUGAGGUAACGGCUCACCAAGGCUACGAUCAGUAGCUGGUCUGAGAGGAUGAUCAGCCUCACUGGGACUGAGACACGGCCCAGACUCCUACGGGAGACAG
rnacentral:rRNA from 1 species